rnacentral:rRNA from 1 species
UCGGGGUUAGUGGCGGACGGGUGAGUAACGCGUGAGGAUCUGCCCUUAGGAGGGGAACAACAGUUGGAAACGACUGCUAAUGCCCCAUAUGCCGAGAGGUGAAACAGUUAAUUCUGCCUAGGGAUGAACUCGCGUCUGAUUAGCUAGUUGGUUGGGUAAUGGCCGACCAAGGCGACGAUCAGUAGCUGGUCUAAGAGGAUGAUCAGCCACACUGGGACUGAGACACGGCCCAGACUCCUACGGGAGGCAGCAGUGGGGAAUUUUCCGCAAUGGGCGAAAGCCUGACGGAGCAAUACCGCGUGAGGGAGGAAGGCCUUAGGGUUGUAAACCUCUUUUCUCUGGGAAGAAGAUCUGACGGUACCAGAGGAAUAAGCCUCGGCUAACUCCGUGCCAGCAGCCGCGGUAAGACGGAGGAGGCAAGCGUUAUCCGGAAUUAUUGGGCGUAAAGCGUCCGUAGGCGGUUAAUUAAGUCUGUUGUUAAAGCCCACAGCUCAACUGUGGAUCGGCAAUGGAAACUGGUUGACUAGAGUGUGGUAGGGGUAGAGGGAAUUCCCGGUGUAGCGGUGAAAUGCGUAGAUAUCGGGAAGAACACCAGUGGCGAAGGCGCUCUACUGGGCCACAACUGACGCUGAUGGACGAAAGCUAGGGGAGCGAAAGGGAUUAGAUACCCCUGUAGUCCUAGCUGUAAACGAUGGAUACUAGGUGUUGGACGUAUCGACCCGUGCAGUACCGUAGCUAACGCGUUAAGUAUCCCGCCUGGGGAGUACGCACGCAAGUGUGAAACUCAAAGGAAUUGACGGGGGCCCGCACAAGCGGUGGAGGAUGUGGUUUAAUUCGAUGCAACGCGAAGAACCUUACCAAGGCUUGACAUCCUGCGAAUCUUUCAGAGAUGAGAGAGUGCCUUCGGGAGCGCAGAGACAGGUGGUGCAUGGCUGUCGUCAGCUCGUGUCGUGAGAUGCUGGGUUAAGUCCCGCAACGAGCGCAACCCUCGUCCUUAGUUGCCAUCAUUAAGUUGGGCACUCUGGGGAGACUGCCGGGGACAACUCGGAGGAAGGUGGGGACGACGUCAAGUCAUCAUGCCCCUUACGUCUUGGGCUACACACGUCCUACAAUGCUACAGACAGAGGGCAGCAAGCUCGCGAGAGCAAGCAAAUCCCAUAAACUGUGGCUCAGUUCAGAUUGCAGGCUGCAACUCGCCUGCAUGAAGGCGGAAUCGCUAGUAAUCGCAGGUCAGCAUACUGCGGUGAAUACGUUCCCGGGCCUUGUACACACCGCCCGUCACACCAUGGGAGUUGGCCACGCCCGAAGUCGUUACUCUAACCGUUCGCGGAGGAGGGCGCCGAAGGCAGGGCUGAUGACUGGGGUGAAGUCGUAACAAGGUA